UACGAAGGGGGCUAGCGUUGCUCGGAAUGACUGGGCGUAAAGGGCGCGUAGGCGGUUUGCACAGUCAGGCGUGAAAUUCCUGGGCUUAACCUGGGGGCUGCGCUUGAUACGUGUGGACUGGAGUGCGGAAGAGGGUCGUGGAAUUCCCAGUGUAGAGGUGAAAUGCGUAGAUAUCGGGAGGAACACCUGUGGCGAAAGCGGCUCACUGGACAGUAACUGACGCUGAUGCACGAAAGCUAGGGGAGCAAACAGG
rnacentral:rRNA from 1 species